rnacentral:tRNA from 1 species
AGCCCCAAGGUGUUCAACACAUAAGAUUGCAAAUCUUGAGACGCAGACUAACAUCUGCUGGGGCUU